rnacentral:rRNA from 1 species
AGUUUGAUCCUGGCUCAGGAUGAACGCUAGCUACAGGCUUAACACAUGCAAGUCGAGGGGCAGCAUGGUCUUAGCUUGCUAAGGCUGAUGGCGACCGGCGCACGGGUGAGUAACACGUAUCCAACCUGCCGUCUACUCUUGGCCAGCCUUCUGAAAGGAAGAUUAAUCCAGGAUGGGAUCAUGAGUUCACAUGUCCGCAUGAUUAAAGGUAUUUUCCGGUAGACGAUGGGGAUGCGUUCCAUUAGAUAGUAGGCGGGGUAACGGCCCACCUAGUCAACGAUGGAUAGGGGUUCUGAGAGGAAGGUCCCCCACAUUGGAACUGAGACACGGUCCAAACUCCUACGGGAGGCAGCAGUGAGGAAUAUUGGUCAAUGGGCGAUGGCCUGAACCAGCCAAGUAGCGUGAAGGAUGACUGCCCUAUGGGUUGUAAACUUCUUUUAUAAAGGAAUAAAGUCGGGUAUGCAUACCCGUUUGCAUGUACUUUAUGAAUAAGGAUCGGCUAACUCCGUGCCAGCAGCCGCGGUAAUACGGAGGAUCCGAGCGUUAUCCGGAUUUAUUGGGUUUAAAGGGAGCGUAGAUGGAUGUUUAAGUCAGUUGUGAAAGUUUGCGGCUCAACCGUAAAAUUGCAGUUGAUACUGGAUGUCUUGAGUGCAGUUGAGGCAGGCGGAAUUCGUGGUGUAGCGGUGAAAUGCUUAGAUAUCACGAAGAACCCCGAUUGCGAAGGCAGCCUGCUAAGCUGCAACUGACAUUGAGGCUCGAAAGUGUGGGUAUCAAACAGGAUUAGAUACCCUGGUAGUCCACACGGUAAACGAUGAAUACUCGCUGUUUGCGAUAUACGGCAAGCGGCCAAGCGAAAGCGUUAAGUAUUCCACCUGGGGAGUACGCCGGCAACGGUGAAACUCAAAGGAAUUGACGGGGGCCCGCACAAGCGGAGGAACAUGUGGUUUAAUUCGAUGAUACGCGAGGAACCUUACCCGGGCUUAAAUUGCACUCGAAUGAUCCGGAAACGGUUCAGCUAGCAAUAGCGAGUGUGAAGGUGCUGCAUGGUUGUCGUCAGCUCGUGCCGUGAGGUGUCGGCUUAAGUGCCAUAACGAGCGCAACCCUUGUUGUCAGUUACUAACAGGUGAUGCUGAGGACUCUGACAAGACUGCCAUCGUAAGAUGUGAGGAAGGUGGA